AUUAUUUUAUUUAUCAAUCUCUCAAACCUAUCUAACCUCUUGGCUCUCUCUAGGUAUCUAACCCUUUUCUCUUGUAGAUGUCUGACACUAAAAGCUCGACGGAGAUGACGACGGGGCUCGACGGCACGAGGGCUUGACAAUCUGUCUCGCUGCUUUCAUCUUUCCAAGUCCGAUGGUGUGCGGGGUCGAGGUUGGGUGAACGGUAGUGCACGAGGUCGGGAUUGUGUUCAUUCAACCCCUCAUUUGCGACAGUGGUACCGAAAUGGUGAAGGUUUCCAUUUCAAAUUUUGGCAUCGUCUGCGGUCACACGGGUUCGGAGGUUGGGAAAUCGAUUGCUUGGGUUCAGAGAUUGGAUUAAGAGAUUGAGUUCAGAGAUUGGGAAUGGUGAAGAGAAUUGGGGAUGUGUCGAAGGAAAUAAAAAGAGUGAGGGCAUAGAUGGAAGAAAACGAAGAACUGGCGAUACUAAUGAGAGGUCUUCGUGGACAAGCGAUUGUAACCUCUUUGGGUCCAGCUUAUAUCAAACUUGGGCAAGCAUUGAGCAUUAGACCUGAUAUACUUUCACCAAGUGCAAUGACUGAGCUUCAAAAACUCUAAUAAGCGAAUGAUCAGAUUCCAUAAAUACCUCGUGCCUGCACCAGACCAUAACCCAGAAAGAUCGAGAGAAUUACAGAAGGAAAAAUAAAAUAGAGAGACAGAAACCUCAAUGUAGAUUAUACAAAAGAAUAUACUAGUACAAGUACUAGUGAAGAAAAGCCAGUUAGUCAGGCUAGGGUUAAAACACAAGAGAAAACCCAUCAGCACUACACAUUUGGGGAUUUAUUCAAUCACACCAUUUAGGGCUGAUUUGCUUUGAACGGCAGCUGCUAGGUGAACGACGCUCGACGACACACAUUUGGGGAUUUUGAUUGGUUUUAAAGCAUUGGAUUGUUAGCUAAUUGCAAGAGGAAAAUAGUUAUAGCGGCAAGAAGGUUCUUGGCAGCUUGGGGAUGUGUAUUGAGGGAGAAUGGAAUCGGUGGACUGCGCAAACGAUUCAAGGAUGAAGUUGUUUAAGUCUUUCAAUCAUAUUUUCUAUGUAUUUUUCCGCAUCUGAGUUAUAAUGAAUUUUAAGAUCUAAGUCAUGUUUUAUUUUAUUUUUAAAACAAUGGGAUUCCAUACCCUACUCUAAAUUUUAUGUUAACCCUUGUUUUACAGUUUUAAUAAAGUUAUGACUAUUUCAUAUGUAUGUUUUCUUAAGAUUAGUAUUUAUGUAUAGUAGUUUAUUAAUGGUCCAAAGUCUAUAAUGGUUGGGUCGUUACAGUUGGUAUCAGAGCAAACAGUUCAUCCGCAUGAAGUUCUCCUCGAUACACACACUCAAAGCUCCGAAUCUGACCGCCAAAAAAUAGUUAUAGCGGCGGGAAUGUUCUUGGCAGCUUGGGGAUGUGUAUUGAGGGAGAAUGGAAUCGGUGGACUGCGCAAACGAUUCGAGGAUGAAGUUGUUUAAGUCUUUCAAUCAUAUUUUCUAUGUAUUUUUCCGCAUCUGAGUUGUAAUGAAUUUUAAGAUCUAAGUCAUGUUUUAUUUUAUUUUUAAAACAAUGGGAUCCCAUACCCUACUCUAAAUUUUAUGUUAACCUUUGUUUUACAGUUUUAAUAAAGUUAUGAUUAUUUCAUA